rnacentral:tRNA from 1 species
GGGCCGAUAGCUCAGUUGGUUAGAGCAGUCGACUCAUAAUCGAUUGGUCGCGGGUUCAAGUCCUGCUCGGCCUA